rnacentral:rRNA from 1 species
GACGAACGCUGGCGGCGUGCUUAACACAUGCAAGUCGAACGAAGUGGCGAACGGGUGAGUAAUACGUGGGUAACCUGCCCUCCUUUUUGGGAUAAGCCUUGGAAACGGGGUCUAAUACCGAAUAAAGGGGGAUGGGCUCGCGGCCUAUCAGCUUGUUGGUGGGGUGAUGGCCUACCAAGGCGGUGACGGGUAGCCGGCCUGAGAGGGGGAACGGCGACAUUGGGACUGAGAUACGUCCCAGACUCCGACGGGAGGGAGAAGGGGGCGAUAUUGCACAAUGGGCGAAAGCCUGAUGCGGCGACGGCGCGUGGGGGAUGAAGGCUUUCGGGUUGUAAACCUCUUUCGCUAUCGAAGGGGUAGGUGGAGAAGAAGCGCCGGCUAACUACGUGCCAGCCGCCGCGGUAAUUC